rnacentral:rRNA from 1 species
UAGGGAAUCUUCCGCAAUGGGCGAAAGCCUGACGGAGCAACACCGCGUGAGUGAUGAAGGUCUUCGGAUCGUAAAACUUUGUUAUUAGGGAAGAACAAAUGUGUAAGUAACUAUGCACGUCUUGACGGUACCUAAUCAGAAAGCCACGGCUAACUACGUGCCAGCAGCCGCGGUAAUACGUAGGUGGCAAGCGUUAUCCGGAAUUAUUGGGCGUAAAGCGCGCGUAGGCGGUUUUUUAAGUCUGAUGUGAAAGCCCACGGCUCAACCGUGGAGGGUCAUUGGAAACUGGAAAACUUGAGUGCAGAAGAGGAAAGUGGAAUUCCAUGUGUAGCGGUGAAAUGCGCAGAGAUAUGGAGGAACACCAGUGGCGAAGACGACUUUCUGGUCUGUAACUGACGCUGAUGUGCGAAAGCGGGGGGAUCAAACAGG